GAAAAAAAAAAUCACCAGAACUAGAGAAAUUUUUACUCUCACCCAGAGAGUAGCCCCAGUGGACUGUGUGUCUCCAGAAUGGGUACAUAGAGCCACUGAAUCUGAGACUAUUUGUCUCCAAUGAAUUUAGUUACAAGAAAUCUGUGAAGAUGUCACCACGGUACUAAAUCAAGAACUGCAAUACAACUGCAAUAAUUUUAUCGCAAUGCUUUGGUUAUGUUUACAUUUUGUCAAUAUAAAAAUAAAUUAUUUUCAUUUAUGUCUGUUUCCCUGAAAAUGUGGAAGGGACAAGUUUUAUAUUCUCUCUCAACCGCUAAAAAGUGAAGGAAAUUAUGCGGUGCAGUGAGUGGGCUGACGUGAAAAGGAGUGAAAGCUGUAAAAGCCGAGGAUUCGGAUACAAAUUAUACAAACACACAAAGGACAAUUCGUGAAUUCUAUAAAAGGCGUUGUACGAGGCAUUUUUCCAAAUUGUUGCCGGAGUUACGUCCAACCACCCUCAUGAUGACCUCCGUGUUAAUGCUCAUCCUCAGCAUCAUCUUCGUGGGAUCCUUUGGAAAAACCUCUAGGUAUACGCCGCCUCUACACGUUAAUUCCUCCUCAAGAUAUUCAAGGUCAACACAAAAGAAGCCACGGGGAUUGAGGAGGCGCUAUGUUUCUUGCAUAGAGAGAGGAAAUUGUUCAAAAAUAUCCUACGCGCAUUCCGGACAAAGCAUUGUCUCUCUCAGCAAUCACGUUGCACUCAAAUUGGGCAAUUUCUCUCUGUGUGUAAGACGCAAUUUGACGGUCAUCACGGAGGAGUCCGUCAGUACACGGCUCCCUGACAGUUUUUCGUGUGAAGAGGACACUCCGGCACUUCCUAGAGAGCCUCCCCUGCGUGCCCCCCCGUUCCCUAUUGGGUCCGCUUGAGCGGGACGGGGAGCUCCUCGCACUACCUUCAAAUUGUAAGCGAGGGGGAGGUCUCCCAAGAAGAGUAUCUUCAUGCUGUAGAAUUUUGCCGGUUUCCGGGGCACAGUCUUCGUUCCACGGUGAUGAUUGCCCAGCCAUCCUCUCCCUCCACGUACAGACAGGUGGAUGCCUUUUCGUGGCCUGGAAGAGAACUAUUAGAGCUCUCCCUGGGAGAAAGGAACAGUGGCUAGGGGAACAAGAGGAGCUUGGUCUGGCCUUGAAGCUUUUAUUCUCUGUAUAGGAUGUCAAUCUAAUCAAAAUAAAUAAAUUGUGGAAAUGGAGAAUAAAUGGGGUUCAACCCAAAACGGAUUUUUUAAAAAAUGUUUUUUUUUCGCUUUUGUCUCUUUGUAGUUGUUUGGUUUCACUCCUACAACAUUUUUUAUGAAAAUUAAAAAAAAAUCAUGUUUCAGUUUUGCCGGACCAUGGCACUCAAAGCAUCUUUCUGUUCUUGUAUCAGACUCGUUUGACAUAUUCUUGUAACGCACUUCAUUAAUCAUCCGAGAAUCUAAUCAUUAUGACAAAAGUUGAAGAAAAAGAGAAUAUAAAGAUUUAUAAAAAAAAAGAUUAAAUUCAAUUUAUGCAAAUAAAUAAAUUUUUAAAAGAUUUUUUCUUAUGUAAAUGCAUAAAGAGGCUCCCUAUAUAGGUCUGUUGGUAUAUUAUUAAUUACAGAUCCCAUUCUUUUCAUUUUAUUUCGAAUAUAAUUUUUUAUUUUAUAAAUAUUAUUAAUUUCAAUGCAAUAAAUAAUAUUCUCUAUUUUCAAAAUAAAAAAAAUACCACUAACGCCAUCUGUUUAUUGCCAAUAUGUCACGGCUGCUAUAAAAUCAAAUACACGAACUACUAGAAUUCUUGUCAUUGUGACAAUCAAUUCUAGUGACUCGUGUGUCUCUAUAUUGGGGAAUCAAGUCCACUACUUUAGCGACGAGCCCCAGUGAACAACGAUUCUCUAAACCUCUAGCAUAUUUUUUUUUCGGUGUAUGGGAUUUUAAUGUGGCAUUAUAUUUUGCAAAAUAACCGAGUGAAUUGGCGAUGGAGGUUGUAUGAAGAAGGAAAGGUUCAUGGCUGUUUAAUGGGCGAGGAAAAAAAGGGGUCAAGUCUUUCACAUCCUGUUUCAGCAAUUGUGAUGUUGAGGAAUAUAUAGAGCACUAAUAUUGGUCUGUUAUCGUGUGCAAUCAUCAAGAAGAUUCACACCACAAGACUAAUUCUUUCUCACCUCACUGAACACCAUAGAUGUGUGUUUGGUGUAUAAUAUUCGUGUGGAUUUGUUUCUUUUUUUUUUUACCUUUUUUGCACUCACGAGAAUUAUAAUAGCACGAGAUCGAAUAGUGCACGUAAAGAGGGCUAUACGAUACAUACAUAUACAGCUGUAUAUAUCGGCCAAAUGAUGGACACGAAGCGUGGAAUGGAGCCAAAGAAUGUCGCGCAAAGAUUGGAUACAAUUGUGGAUGGCAAUCGGAACAAUCUUCUAUUGCUUCUCAUUUACACGAAAGUUCUCCCAAACAAUGUAUACAAAAAAGGAGGAUGAAGAAGAAGAAAAAAAUCAUAGAUCACAAUAAAGAAUAUAAAUUGUGGGGCAUGUAGCAUCAAGAUAGGUAUAGGUAACAAAAAGAAAUCUGUAACGUUCAGUUAGAUGAUACAGUUUUCACGCAUUUUGCGUUCUUAAGACAAAUAAGUAAUUUUUUUUGUACUCUUCUUACACCAUCUUAUGCGGCCAAUCUUCAGACACUAAUUCUACCAUCUAUUAGAGACAAAUUAAGUGAUUAUUUUUUUUUAAUUGGUCUACACACGGCAAAAAAAAAAUAAAGCUUCAGCGUGUGGUUUUGUAUACGUAUACAUGCAUAUGUGUAUAUUAUGCAAUCCCUCAAGAGCGAUAUAUAUUGAUUUUCUCAAGCGAUUGUGAAUGGGAGGCUUUUUUAUAUUUUUUUUUUUGUAAGGUAUCAGCAUCUCUUCGAAACUCUUUUUUCCCCACGCAGCCUCAAUGUAUUGUUUUAAUGUUGAAAUUGAAACACCCAUUCAGAUAUGGUAUGCUAUGUACACAUACAUAGUACAUAGUAUAGGAAAAAUAUCCGGAAAUUCAUCCAUCAAUAAUAAAUUCACGUCAAAACUAUGCCACAGAGAAAAAUCGUGACUCGUACCAAUCAGUGUUUGUAUUAUAUAUAGUUUUUUUUUUACCAAGCAUAAUGCAUAAUAGAGAGAAGGUGAAUGGAAGAUGUUUCAAGGAAGUUUUGCCGCAAUUUUUCAUUAUCUUCCCUUCAAAAACAUUAAAAAAAUAAUAAUGAAGAUGAAAGAAAAUUGAAAAUUGAAGAAAGUUUAUUGUUUAAUGAUUGAUUGGAUAUUUUAGGGAGGAAGGAAAUUAGUUAUUUUAGAGAAAAUUAUUUUAGCUGCAAAGAGGAAGAAUGUCUUGUUUGACAUUAAAUUCAAUCAACUUUUACACGAAAUCCAACAUCCUGAAAUAUUCUUCCUCAAAGAUGAUUCACAACACUUCGUAUGAGUUCCGUUCAAUGUUCAGCUAACAAAAAAAAAUGUUCCAUAAUUCGCGGAACUAUAAAAAUUUUCUGAGAAACAGCGGAAUGAAAAAUUCGUCAUACCGGUGAAAAAGUAAAAGUGACCUAAUCUUGUUCAAAUAGACAAUUAAAUUUCUCACAUAAUUUGUCUUGUGUAGUGUGUUGAGCUCUCCCCAAAGUUGGAAGAGAAACAAUUUCUGUUUUCAUUGCAUAAAAAAUUGGUUUUAGCGAGAAGAAAUAGAAUUUUAUGCAAUAAUUCGGCAUAAAGUGAAAUUUUUUUCUUCUUGCUGUGAUUUUUUUUCUUGUACGUUGUGUGUACAUGAAAAAGAUCAACACAAUGCGGCCUCAAGCGGUGUGUGUAUGUGUUUCGAAGGAAAAUAUCAAUUAUCUCACCUGACGAAGAUGAGUAGUGCACACGGAGAGGAGUAUAAGGUACAUAUUGGACAUUGAGGCAUCAUCAUCAACAGAAAGGUGGAGAAGCAUGGCAAAAAAAAGAGAAGCGACGCGCGCAUCGGAAAUAUAUUUAACAACACAUGAGAGUGGUUAACAAUAUUCGAAAGCGCGCGACUCGUCGCCGUCAUGUGCUUCGGGUGAAAUGAGAAAUUUUCAGUGGGUCACUAGAUAAUAAGGUCAAUCCGUAAGUAAUAUGAACACAAGCCAACACAUCAGAAACACCAUAUAUAUAGCAGCAACAGAGCAGAAGAAGAAGAAAAAGGAGAUAACUGUUAAGACAUUGAUACCUCCCGACAUAUCACAUUGGAAUAUGAAGAGACGACGAUGUUGUUGGGAGAAAAAAAAAUCGUCUCUACUACUUUAUGUAUCAUUUUUAUGUACCUAACACUACAUAUCUCCCGCGAUCAUCUUGCGGGCAUUGAAUUUUGCCAGAGGUGGUAAUAAUAUUUUUUUUUGGUGCGUGAAUAGAUCAGCAUUCAAGCCAUCAACUGAAAUCAUGCAUCAAUUGAACAUUGGACAGCAAAAUCAACAUCAUACAGCAUGAGACUCUCUCUCUGUGCAUCCACUAUAUAUGUAUGUUCUGUGUAUAACAUCGUCGCAACAUUAACUGGCAUAUCUGACAAGUUGCGGUGACGAUGAUGAUUGUCUCUCUCCCGCGUCUCUCACAUCAUCAUCUGACCACUCUUCAUGUGCAAAAAUCUAACAUGAGAAGAAAGUCUCCAUAAGCGUGACACGUCCGAGAAAGAAGUGAUUAUAGAUAAUAAUUGCAAUUAUAUUGUGUGAAAUUUUGACAUUUGAUUCUUUCGCAAUUACGGGGAGUUUAUCAACACUUUGCGAUUGGAUCUUCCGCGCGCAUCAUUGCGGAGAAAAAAGAUCAUCAUGAGAGAUUCUAAUCUCAUAGAAGAUGAAGAAAAAUUCGCAAAUAAAAGAAUCAAUAAUAGGAAGAUCCGUUACGUCGUAUCAAUACCAUAACUUUUGCAUAUGGUUACAAAUUGGCAAAUGCUGAAAAAUUAUAAUAUAGCGCGAGUCAAUCAAAUGGACACCGAACAUUCUUGUUGUGAUUGACUUUGUACCAAUGUCCCCCGUGGCUUCUUCCACCACCGAGGUUUCUGUACAGUCAUUUAGGGAAAUUGGAUUUUGAUAUGUGUGUGGAUUCUUCCUUCUGUCGAAACCUUUUGUUCUUUCAACAUAACGCUACAAUGCAAUUGAAUGCGAACCACCAUCAUUGAGCACCUCAUUUCAUUCAUUGUGCUACAAUAUGUAUAGUAUAAGAAAUUAACCAAUUAGUAAUUUCCAUUCUAUACUGACUCAUCUAAUUUGCGGAUAUACGAUGACGGAGAUAAUUAGGUGAUGAAAUUCCAAUCUUUCUAUGCUAAAAGGAGUGUUGCAAAAAAAUAAAAUAAA